CUUGUCAUUCCUUUUCUUCCUUAUUCCACCUCAAACAUGUUAAAAUCUCUCUCUGGAUACAUUUUGCUCCUCCUCGUCACACACAUCUUGGUGAUUCCUCGCAUCCUCGCAAGGAGAUCAAGAAUUAAUUCUUGAAGUUUAAGAGAGCCUUCAGUCCUACCCAAAGCAGUAAAGUCAUCUUUGCAUUUGAUAUUUAUUUGUGAAGGAGAUACAAAUAGAAUGAUGCAAGGGAGAGAGGGAAUGUGGAGAGAAGAGUAGAAGAUUCUCUCAAGAUGAAGGGAAGAAGAGACAGUAUUCAGAUAAGUAGCCAGGUCAGUUCCUUCAUAAACUCUUUACCCCUUUCAACCAAAAUGGUCAAUGAAGGCUAUGGCAAAAAGUAGCCAAUGAAUCCUUGCUUGCAUCGUUCCUUAAAUCUAUUUGUCUAAGUAAACAGGGAGAGAGGUAAUUAUUUUGUUCCUUCAGUAAAACGCUAGAGAUGUAGGAUUAGCUGUGAUAUCAUGUUAAGUCUAAAAGAGAGUUUCAUCCAAUCAAACUAGAAACACUUAGAUGGGAUAGGAUCUAUUGAUAUUAAACAUAAA